rnacentral:rRNA from 1 species
AUGGAGGUGAGCGGCUCGCCGCAGGACCUCGGCGACAGCUUCUCCUACGGCUGGCUCAGCCAGGCGCCGCCCUCCAUGGACCGCCUCGCCGCCGACGUGGCCCUCUACUCCUUCGGCGGCUCCAGGUCCUCCUUCAUCGACAUGGAGGACCCCUCCGAGCUCUUCUCCAUGCGGUGGACCACGCCGACGGCGAGCGACUUUGACUUCGGCCUCCCGGCGCCGGCCGACGGCGGGGCCGCGUCCCCGGCGCACCUGGUCAGCGCCAGCCAGAUCUUCCGCGGCGGCCGGCUCCUCCCCUGCGAGCCCGGCGGCUGCUCCUACGCGACCGCACGGCAGGACGCCGACGGCUCGGUGGCCCGUCGCGCCGCGGAAGCCGUGCCGCGGCUGUCGCCCCCGUCGUCGCCGCUGUUCCACUCGGCGCAGAGCACGCCGCUGUCGCUGAGCGCGUGCUCCAGCGCGACGGGCAAGCACGCCGGGCAGCGCCCGAUGACGAGGCGGCGCGGCGGGUCGUCGCCGUGGAAGGUGCUGCUGAGGUACGUGCGGUUCCUGAUGCCGCUGUACCGGAAGGCGAGGGCGAGGCGCGCGGACAGACGGGUGGCGCCGGCGGGGAGCCCCUCGCGCGGGUCCACGUCGAGCGCCGUCGAGUGGUGCCACGGCAAUGCCGACACGGCCGUCCACGACGCCAUCCUCUACUGCAAGAAGUCCAGCGGAAAAGAUGCGCUGCCAUGA